rnacentral:rRNA from 1 species
UACGGAGGGACCAAGCGUUGUCCGGAAUCAUUGGGCGUAAAGCGCGUGUAGGCGGCCCGGUAAGUCCGCUGUGAAAGUCGGGGGCUCAACCCUCGGAUGCCGGUGGAUACUGUCGGGCUCGAGUGCGGAAGAGGCGAGUGGAAUUCCUGGUGUAGCGGUGAAAUGCGCAGAUAUUAGGAGGAACACCAAUUGCGAAGGCAGCUCGCUGGGACGUUACUGACGCUGAGACGCGAAAGCGUGGGGAGCAAACAGG